rnacentral:rRNA from 1 species
AUUGAACGCUUGGCGGCAUGCUUUACACAUGCAAGUCGAACGGCAGCGCGGGGGCAACCCUGGCGGCGAGUGGCGUAACGGGUGAGUAAAUGCAUCGGAACGUAUCCUGUAAUGGGGGAUAACGUAGCGAAAGUUACGCUAAUACCGCAUACGCUCGAGAGAGGAAAGUGGGGGAUCGCAAGACCUCACGUUAUAGGAGCGGCCGAUGUCCGAUUAGCUAGUUGGUGGGGUAAAGGCCUACCAAGGCGACGAUCGGUAGCUGGUCUGAGAGGAUGAUCAGCCACACUGGGACUGAGACAACGGCCCAGACUCCUACGGGAGGCAGCAGUGGGGAAUUUUGGACAAUGGGCGAAAGCCUGAUCCAGCCAUGCCGCGUGCCGGG